rnacentral:tRNA from 1 species
AGUCUUAUAUUCAAUGAAUGAUUUUAGAUUGCAAAUCUAAAGGUAAAGAUUAAACUUUUAAGGCUU